rnacentral:rRNA from 1 species
GGGUCAGUAGGUUGGUCGUGCCACCGGUACGUACUGGUCUCACUGAUUCCUCCUUCCUGAAGAACCGUAACGCCAUUAAUUUGGUGUUGCGGGAAAACAGGACUGUUACUUUGAAAAAAUUAGAGUGUUUAAAGCAAGCUAACGCUUGAAUACAUUAGCAUGGAAUAAUGAAAUAGGACGAUCGAUCCUAUUUUGUUGGUUUCUAGGAUUGACGUA